AGUUCAAAGAUACUUUAAGAUGUCAACUUUCAGGAUAAUGUUGUAUUGGUUAAGGGGAUGUAGGGAGAGGGGAGUAUUUUGGCUUGUGAAACUCAACAAGUGGAAGGGUAAUCACUGAGACAGAAAAACUGGAAGAGGACCAAGUUUGGGAAAAACUAUACUAAGUUUAACUUUAGACAAGUUGAAUUAAAAGUAAAUAUCCUCUGGAUCUUUUGUGAAUUAUACAUUACCAUGGUACUAAGUCCCAACUUACGGGUAAAGUCUUAUUUCUGCAAAGUUAAAAAUUUCUCUUUCUUUUUUACACAAUAGCAUUUAGUACUUUUUCUAAUUAUAGAAGUAAUACAUAUUUAUUGUAAAACAUUUUAAAAAUACAAAAAAACCUAAAAAUCUGACUACUCAAAAAUAAUGAACAGUAAUAUUUGAUGUCUUACAAACCCUAGUGCUCAUUAUUUUUAAUUUUUAUAACACUUACAUCUUGUUUUUAGAACUUAAUAUUUGGUGUCUACUUUCCAGCAUCAUUAAACAUUCCCCCAGAAGUGGUUGUUUAAUGGGGUUACCAUCAUCCUUAAUGCUUAGGAAGCAGAAAAGCAGAGUUGAUUACCUCCUUCCAGAGCUCCUCCAGGCUUUGCCUGAUCCCAUGCACGUUUUAAGAGAUGUGGUGACAUUUCCUGCUUGGGAAGAAGGUCCAUGACCAAAGUUACAAUUCGAGGAAACCGACAGCCUGAAACAUAUUCUUGGGAGUAACCUAAGGCCUGUAGGAGAGUGGGUGACGAUCAUCGCCCAUCCAUGACUCCACUCUGAUGUAGCUUUCUCUCUCUGCUCAUCCUUCCUGCUUCACUUGUAUUUCCUCAAUAAACAUUUGCAGCCUUAAAAAUGAAUGAAAAAAAAAAGAGAGUAGAAAUUGGCGUUGCCCAGAAAGAGCCUGUUUUCUCAGCACUGUAGUCCAAUCAUUCCUCAUUAUAUAGCAGAGUUGAUUUUUCACAUUCUUCCUACCUACCUGUGGAUGGAGAGCUCUCCUUGAGUUCUAGGUGAUGUAGAUAAGCAUGCAAGGAGGAAAAGGGAAGCUUCCCUUGAGAGAACAGCGGAAGGAGAAGAUGGAGAGCACAGAAGUGACUCAUCCUCCAACACAUUCCACACACUACCUGGUCCCUUCGCUCUGGGAGAUGUGCCAGUGGGCUCUCUGCUGUGGGAAGUCAUCCAUCUUUCCUGCACAGAAGGAAGGGAAAUUGGCAUUUUGCUGCUGCUGUAAAUAUAUCCUUUGCUUUACACAACAUAAGAAAAAAGGCACGGUAAGGAAGAUGGGUAAAGUUUUGUAAUUUAAUAUGAUGAAUUUUUGUGAUUAAUAAUACACUAUAUUUGUUGUUAAUAGAUUUGAUCAGGAAAACAGAACUGCUUGGAGUCCUAUGGAAUUAGAGUUUGGUUUCUUCUUUUCUUUCCUUUUUUGUUCUUUGUUGAGAAUUGGACCUUGAACAAUUGUAGGAGAAGCUAGGGGAACAAUGGUCUGAGAGGGUCUGGUUGAAGGCUCAGACACAGCAGAUAAUUGUUCUCAGACAAUAAGAGCACAGCAGAGUCGUGGGGAAGAGUUGCUCUGGUGCUGGAGUUCAAACUGACGUCACUGUCGCACCAUUUGCAAAAUGGAGAGCAAGAAGCCCUAGAGAGGGAGAAACUCGGGGGCUCCUAAGAACAAACUGGGACCCACAAGGGCAAAGUGGACACCCACACUUCUCUCUUACUGCAUCUGACCCACAGACCUGCAGAAGAAACUGGAGUGUUUGGCCAAGGGCUAGUCUACUAACUUGGCCCAGGACCCAGAGAAACUCAGGGAGUCAGGCAGGUACUGGAGGAGCCUAGAGCCUACACAGUUGCUGCCCUGCACCAUGAGAUGAGCUACUGGACCAGCAACCAGCCUUCAGAAGCACAGGGCGGUGGCCUCUGUUCCUUAAUUAAAGAAAUAGAUCACAGGUUGAAAGGAUGGCCAUGUGCUACAAAUGAAAACUACAAAACAGUCAACUCUCAGACCUUCCCGUGAGGUUGGUCAAUGUCGAGGAUGAGAAGGAAUGGCUUGGCAUCCAGACCAACAACCGAAGUCAGCAAGAGUUGGAAAACUUAAUUGGUCAUCAGCCUGUCUAUUAUCUGUGAAUUUGCCUGUCACGCUCCUCUGGCUGCCUUUCCUUAUUCAUUUACAGGAGUGACCAAGUUCCUGGAUGUGGCUGCUCUUCCACUGUUGAAUUCUUCUAGGCUUUGCAUAACUACAAAAAUUCAUGGAGCGAGUUCCUGUACUAAGACUGCUUGGAAAAUUUAUGGACUAUUUUAGAAAAACAUUCUGGCUUUUUUCUAAAUAAGAAGAAAAUACCAGAAUGAUUAAUCCAGGUGAAGUCUCACAUAAUCUGUGAAUGAACUCUUUCCCAUUUCUCUUUUAUUUGGUAGUAAUGUGGACUUGUUGAUAACAUGAAUUCAAGUCUGGAUUCCUCUUGCAUUCGGCCACAAAUAUUCUCUCCUAAAUAAAAG